AACGUGCUCUUCUGUGGACGACGAUUCUUGCAGAGUUCUUUUGCAGAUCUUGAUUUUAUCUUUACGGCUUCAGACGAUUGUAAUAGUGUAUUCGUUUAGAUCGAUCUUAGAUCUACCUUUCGGCUAUGGAUUUCAUGUGUUUCUAUGAUUCGAUCGCUGCCGGCUGUUGUUCUUAUCGAAGAUCAGUAUCCCGGUCUGCUGUUUCAGAAGACAGAGAUCCAUGUGCUACUGGCGUUUCUUGAUCGAAGUGUCCAAUCAAUUGAUUUGAAGAGAAGAUAUAUGGAGUCAACAGCUAGAGGAGUUUGAUGAAGACCGAUUAUAUCUGUUUGGAUCUUAUCAUCAUCUUAUUCGGCCUCGCUUGUCGAACCAUUGACCAUCGAAAAGUUGAAAAAAUCGUUGURAUUGAUCGCUGUUGUUCGACUUCCUCGUGAUGCUAUGCAUAUCAUGUAGAUAUAGUCGAAAGUUGCCAGAAAAUAGUGCGGGAUGUGUCCGCUGGGAGAGGUGAAAGGUUAAUUUGUAAGAUCUGCGGUGUUGUGUGCGUUAAUUUCCUUGUUUUGUGAGUCCGGCCUUUGCCAUGUCAGGUGCGCUUGCAUGGCAGGUCAUAAAAAAGUCUUAAUGAAAUUGUUCUUUUUGUUUUGAUGGAAGGAGAAGGUACGGGGGUUGCCCGGCUCUCCUUCCUUGUGUGUUCCUGUCGCCCUCCUCUCUCUCUCUCUGUUGCUCSUCUACCUAUCUGACCAAAUAUCUCAAACCACUUCUAAACAGAUCAUGAUUCAUGCUCAUAACAUAAUGAACACCGCAUCAAACACUGGGGGAUCAAUACCGAGGCUUAAGGUACAAACAAUCCGUUACUCCCUUCAAAUUUACAGUUUUACGCUACCAAAUGCAUCUUUACUCAGCAGUUUCCUUGAGGUAAGGCGUUGUUAAUUCAAUUUUGUUUUUGUAAAGAAGCGAUCGUGGUUGUGCUCUUAUACUAUCCUCGUACGCUUCUUUUACGCGGCUAUUUCACAAUUUAAUUACUUGCAGUUUAUCUUGGUCAUUGAACGAAUUGUUGUACUGCUGUUUUGCUCCAAGCUAAUCUGUUUGUUCAUUCAAGUAUUGUUUACAUUCUUUAGUUAAUGGUUCUGCUCUAUACUUGGCAUAUGCAUACUCGAAGCGUCUAGCAGUUUAUGGAUUGAAUCGAGCAACUUGUAUGUAUUUUCUUGAGUUAUGUUUUGACCAGCAGAAGGCGUCUAUCGUUUGUAUUUACUUGGUGUUAGGCGCUGUUUUCUUGUUUUUGUUGGUAUCGAGUAGUAGUGUCAAGUUAUUUGUACUAUGUCAUUGUAGUUAUUUUGUUGAAGGGACUGUUGAUUCCUAUGGAGUCUUGCGUGGCUUAUUGUAGUGACCGAAGGACAGUUGGGUGGAUGAAUGGGGAACAGAGACUAGAUUUGUGGUUCGGAGCUUCAUAUGAGCGAUGUUUGUUUAAUCUUUUCUUAGGAGAUGAAGAUGACCUUUUGCGUGGAUACAUUGGUGAAGAUGGAUGCCGUGUUUCGAAGGUUAUGGUGAUGCGUUAGGUCCGUGCAGUGAUCAGUUUCCCAACAUCUGUUAGGUACAUCCUUAUGUAUAAUGGUGCCUUGUUACAUCCUUGUGUAUAAUGGUGCCUUGUUACAUCCUUGUAUAAUGGUGCCUCGUUACAUCCUCGUAGGAGGUUGGUAACUCGUUUGCUGGUUUUAUUUCUGACAAUCGGAUGGACAGCAUUUUUAUGUUUUAGUUUUUGGAAGUCGUAUUUGGAUUGUAUUUUUAUAUAUUGCUAAAUAUACCUCUAUCGAGUGAUUUUCUUGUCA